GACAGAGGAUGCAAGCGUUAUCCGGAAUGAUUGGGCGUAAAGCGUCUGUAGGUGGCUUUUUAAGUCCGCCGUCAAAUCCCAGGGCUCAACCCUGGACAGGCGGUGGAAACUACCAAGCUGGAGUACGGUAGAGGGGGAUGGAAUUCCGCGUGUAGCAGUGAAAUGCGUAGAUAUCGGGGAGGAACACCUGUGGCGAAAGCGGCUCACUGGACCAUAACUGACGCUGAUGCACGAAAGCUGGGGGAGCAAACAGG
rnacentral:rRNA from 1 species